rnacentral:lncRNA from 1 species
GCUAGGAUCUUCUUUCUCUUCCUCCCUUUGGCCCCAGGCACCCCCUCGGGAUGAACCUCCACAACGGGACCCUCGGCCGGGGGGCUCUGUUAAAGGGUUCGGGGGACUUCAAGUUUGGCGUCAGAGGGGACUUCGACGGCGACGGGCAUCGGAGCAGGUGCGACCGAGCUUGUCCCCUCUAUCCUGGCUUUCUUCACCGACCCCGAAGUUGAGGUGUCCU